GGGCUGUGUGUGGCUCAGUGGUAGAGCAUCUGCUUUGGAGGCCAAAGUCUAAGUUUCAAUCUUUGGCAUGUUCA